rnacentral:rRNA from 1 species
UGUCCUACGGGGGGCUGCAGUCGGGAAUUUUGGGCAAUGGGCGAAAGCCUGACCCAGCAACGCCGCGUGAAGGAUGAAGUAUUUCGGUAUGUAAACUUCGAAAGAAUAGGAAGAAUUAAUGACGGUACUAUUUAUAAGGUCCGGCUAACUACGUGCCAGCAGCCGCGGUAAUACGUAGGGACCAAGCGUUGUUCGGAUUUACUGGGCGUAAAGGGCGCGUAGGCGGCAAUUCAAGUCAGCUGUGAAAUCUCUGGGCUUAACCCGGAACGGCCAGCUGAUACUGCUUUGCUAGAGUGCGGAAGGGGCAAUCGGAAUUCUUGGUGUAGCGGUGAAAUGCGUAGAUAUCAAGAGGAACACCUGAGGUGAAGACGGGUUGCUGGGCCGACACUGACGCUGAGGCGCGAAAGCCAGGGGAGCAAACGGGAUUAGAUACCCCAGUAGUCC